rnacentral:rRNA from 1 species
UACGUAGGUGGCAAGCGUUGUCCGGAUUUACUGGGCGUAAAGAGCGCGCAGGCGGUCGUUCAAGUCGCGUGUGAAAGCCCCCGGCUCAACUGGGGAGGGUCACGCGAUACUGAUCGACUGGAAGGCAGGAGAGGGUAGUGGAAUUCCUGGUGUAGCGGUGAAAUGCGCAGAUAUCAGGAGGAACACCAGCGGCGAAGGCGGCGCUCUGGGCUGGAACUGACGCUGAGGAGCGAAAGCGUGGGGAGCGAACAGG